rnacentral:rRNA from 1 species
UGAGCAAUCUGCCCUUCUCUUUGGAAUAAGCGUUGGAAACGACGUCUAAUGCCGAAUACGACCUCCUUUCGCAUGAUCGGAGGUGGAAAGCUCCGGCGGAGAAGGAUGAGCUCGCGGCCUAUCAGCUAGUUGGUGUGGGUAAUGGCCCACCAAGGCGACGACGGGUAGCCGGCCUGAGAGGGUGACCGGCCACACGUGGGACUGAGACACGGCCCAGACCUCCGUACGGGGA